rnacentral:rRNA from 1 species
AUUGAACGCUGGCGGCGUGCCUAAUACAUGCAAGUCGAGCGAACGGACGAGAAGCUUGCUUCUCUGAUGUUAGCGGCGGACGGGUGAGUAACACGUGGAUAACCUACCUAUAAGACUGGGAUAACUUCGGGAAACCGUAGCUAAUACCGGAUAAUAUUUUGAACCGCAUGGUUCAAAAGUGAAAGACGGUCUUGCUGUCACUUAUAGAUGGAUCCGCGCUGCAUUAGCUAGUUGGUAAGGUAACGGCUUACCAAGGCAACGAUGCAUAGCCGACCUGAGAGGGUGAUCGGCCACACUGGAACUGAGACACGGUCCAGACUCCUACGGGAGGCAGCAGUAGGGAAUCUUCCGCAAUGGGCGAAAGCCUGACGGAGCAACGCCGCGUGAGUGAUGAAGGUCUUCGGAUCGUAAAACUCUGUUAUUAGGGAAGAACAUAUGUGUAAGUAACUGUGCACAUCUUGACGGUACCUAAUCAGAAAGCCACGGCUAACUACGUG